UGAAGCUUCAGAGAUUCACUUCCAGUGACAACGAAGGAAGCAAAACGAAAGAUUAGUUUACAAACCCAUCAAAUAAUCUCUCUCACGCUAUUAAAUUCCGAAAUUUACCUUUGAAUGAAUGAUUGGCAUUUCCAUACAUUUGUUUUUGAUUUAAUAUUGAAAUGUUGUUGAUUAUGAUCUUUAAUUUAGUUGUUGAGGUUGUUUGCAUUCACUUUGAAUUGAAAUUAUUAGGCAUGUUUAUGUGAUGGUCUCAACAGGCUGGAUGAUAAUAGUGGUUGCAAAUAAGGGGUUCUGGUUGAUAUUCGGGAGAAUAAUAGUUUGAGAAAGUCGUGACCACUAGAGAUCAGGCGUAGCUUCCUACUAGCCGAAUUUUGGUUUGAACUUUUGGCUGAGAGGCGUUAUAUGGAGGGUCUCUUCAUUUUGGUGUUACCUUCAGCACAAUUUGUUUUGUUUUAUAAAAAUGCUUAUAAUAGUGAGCUUAUGGGCUGUAAGUACCGAUCAUAUAUAUAGUUGCUCUGACUUCUAUCAUCAGCAGAUUUAUGAAUAUUUAAAAUAAACUAUGUGAUAUGAAGUGCCAGGCUUGACCCGUGCAUAAGAUUUGUCUCGUGUACGGGUCGUUGCUGUCGCGCACCCCCUAUUUUAUGAUAUUCCGCUGCAGUUUCGGGGCGUGACACCCACGAAUCAUAGAAACGUUUGGAAAGGAAAGAAAACUUCUAAAGAUAAGAUAUAACUAAUCCUAUCUCUUUGUAACCAAACCGACUAAUGAAAAUCCCUCAAUCUUAGGGAUAUCCUACUCAAACAACAACAACAACAACCAAGUCUUUAUCCUAAAUGUUUGGGGUUGGCUACAUGGAUCUUAUUUUUAAAUUCCAUUCUGUUAUGGGUCAUCUCCUCCGUUAAGUUAGUCUUAGUCAUAUCCUUCUUAAUUGCUUCUAACCAAGUCAUUCUAGGUCUACCUUUAGAUCUCCUAGCCCCAUUAACUCUAAUAUUAUCGUUUUUUUCUAAUCGAUGCACUAAGGGG